AUUCUUUUGUAGUUCAUGAGCAUGAUGACUGGGUGUUCAGGCGUUUGUGUGACAUGUGCCUCCCUCAAACCUUGUCAUGUCAGCACAUUACCUGUCUGACG
ensembl:snoRNA